rfam:Saprolegnia diclina VS20 unplaced genomic scaffold supercont1.62, whole genome shotgun sequence.
GGUCCUAUGGUGUAGGGGUUAGCACUCUGGUCUUGAAAUCCAGCAACCCGGGAUCGAAACCCGGUGGGACCA